UAGGGAAUCUUCGGCAAUGGACGCAAGUCUGACCGAGCAACGCCGCGUGAGUGAAGAAGGUUUUCGGAUCGUAAAGCUCUUUAGGUAGAGAAGAAGGUUGGUAGGAGUGGAAAAUCUACCAAGUGACGGUAACUAACCAGUAAGGGACGGCUAACUACGUGCCAGCAGCCGCGGUAAUACGUAGGUCCCGAGCGUUUUCCGGAUUUAUUGGGCGUAAAGCGAGCGUAGGCGGUUCUUUAAGUCUGAAGUUAAAGGCAGUGGCUUAACCAUUGUACGCUUUGGAUACUGGAGGACUUGAGUGCAGAAGGGGAGAGUAGAAUUCCAUGUGUAGCGGUGAAAUGCGUAGAUAUAUGGAGGAACACCGGUGGCGAAAGCGGCUAUCUGGUCUGUAACUGACGCUGAGGUUCGAAAGCGUGGGGAGCAAACAGG
rnacentral:rRNA from 1 species